GCUCGCUCCGGCAGCACAUACUAAAACCGGAGCGAUCCAGGGAUUAGCCUGGGCCCUGCGCAGGGAUGACACAAAAAUUCGUGGAGCAUUCCGUGUUUUU
ensembl:snRNA U6 U6 spliceosomal RNA